AUAAUGUAUAUACAACUCGUCUAAACAUCAACCCAACAAUGUUAGAUCUGUAAAUUGUUCGAAUCCCGGCGAGGGAAGAACCAAAAAUUUGUGAAAGCAAAUUUACAGAUCUAACAUUGUUGGGUUGAUGUUUAGACGAGUUGUAUAUAUAUAUAU
rnacentral:sRNA from 1 species